rnacentral:lncRNA from 1 species
AAGGGUUGAAGGCAUGUCUUACAAUUUUUUUUUUUAGAUAAGCUAGUUUAGUUCUGUUGACUGAGGAUAUCAUGGAUUCAUGGACUUUAAGUUUGAGUAGUUUUGUUGUUGUUUUUCCUCUAAUAAAACUUAAUAAACCUUAACAGUUUUUUCAGUUCCUCCAAAAUUGUGGCUUGUCUGUCAGCAUUAAAUUUUAUGUCAUUGUUGACAGAACACUGGAAGCCAGCUAUAAUGGAAAAAAAAUAAAAAUCAUUAUAUAAAAAUACAAAAUAAAAAAUUAAAAAAUAAAUUUAAAAUUUAAAAAAAUUUCAUGUCAUUGAUGUUUUUAAUCCCUUAUUUAUAUCUUGAUUAUUUUGUGAGAAAUUGGAAGAGUCUAAUAGUCAAAAGCUGCUGACUUGAAAGCCAUUAAGUAUCCUUUCACAUUUUUGUUAUCAUAUGAUUAAAUUAUACUAUAUUACUUCUCCUCUGACAAUAUUCAUAUAAAAAGUCCAUAUUGAGGUGUUCCCAUCGUGCCUCAGCGGUUAACAAAACUGACUAGCGUCGAUGAGGACAGAGGUUUCAUCCCUGGCCUUGCUCAGUGGGUUAAGGAUCCGGAGUUGCCAUGAGGUAUGGUGUAGGUCAUAGAUGUGGCUCGAAUCCAGCAUUGGUGGUGCUCUGGCAUAGGUCAGUGGCUACAGCUUGGAUUGGAUCCCUAGCCUGGGAACCUCCAUAUGCUGCAGGUGCAGCCCUAAAAAGACAAAUAAAACUUCUAUAUUGAUAAAAGUAUAUAUUAUUCAUCUGAAACAUGCAUCCUGGAAAGAAUUGAAGGGAAAAAAAAGAGUCAUGUAGUAAUGGGGCUAUUGCCACUUAAGAUGCUCAAAUCAAUCUAAGACACCUACAGUUAACUUUUGUCUCCUAUUGGGUUUUGGUUCAAAUGCCAAUUAUAGUGUGCAUAGGGAAGGAAACGAGGAAAGGUGUUGUGAUCAAUACUGAAGUAAGUUAUGUCAGUUCAGUUGAAAUGUGAAUGUCAAUUCAAUUGAAAUGUGAAUGAUGCUGCAACAUUAAUUGUAUUAUGUUCUCUAUAAAGUAAAAAUAUUAGUAAAAUUAUGUAUUGUAUCAAAGGGUAGCUUUCAGAAAUAUUUCUCUGCUAUAUUCUUAAAGUUUUAAGAAUGUAUCUGAAUAAUACCCAGUGCCCAAUAAAUUAUAAAGAUAAAUAAGCUUGGGAAAAAGUAACUGAAUUCAGAACCUGUCUGACUCUAGAUAUUCUGAUUUCAUACUGCUGCCAUGUCCUUUAGCACACUACAAUAUUUCUACAAUUGUUGCAGAAAUGACUCUCCUUUUUUCUUAGUUUUCAAUCUAAAACUAACAAGUAAUUAGUAGCUAGAAUAAAAAAUCCCUGAAACAUGUGUUUAAAGUUUCAAGUCAUAUAUACAUCAGAAAUUAAAACAUACAGAGACUGUCUCUGACUUAUUUAAGAAAUAUGAUCUGUUGCCUACCUAUCAUUAUAAAGAUGUUCUUUUCAAAUGAGAUCGUUUGGAAAUAUAUAUAGUGCUACAUUUUUCUUUUCAAAAGCUUUAUUCAGUAAUUAAUAUUUUAAGAAAAAUAUCGCUGAAGGAAUACAGCCAUAUCUGAAUACCAUUUCUUAAAGCAGCCUUACUACAGUGCCAGAUAGAGAGAGAUAACAUAUAUUGCAUUUUAGUGAUGUCAUGCUAACACCGCAGGAUGUUUCACAAUAAUGUAAAACUUGCCCUACUUGGGGGCAGUAAUAAAUAACAAAAAAAGUGAGAGUAAUGACAUUUAGAAAAGAAACUUAUAUAGGAAACUUUUAUAAAUUUAUAUUUCAAAUUAAAUGACAAAUUAUAAUAUGUGUUAGAUAAAAUUUAUAUUUAAGUUUUAAUUUAAGGGUGAGUUAGGGAUUAUUUAAAGAAGCACUACAGAAUCUUUAGAUACCACCACCAGUAAGUUUGUUGUGAUAAAAAGGAAUAUUUAUUCCUCAUAUGUUAUUGUAGUUAACAUAGUAAACUGCAUUAUUUUGUGGCAGAAGUAAUUAUUGUAAUGGUCUCUAAGAGGCUCAAAAGUGAACACUGUGUCAAAGUAAUUUUUAUGUUUUCAUUCAUUCAAAUAUAAAUUAAUAUUUGCUAUUUAUGAUUGGCCCAUUUUUAAAACAGCUAUAUACUUCUGUAUUUAGCUUGAAUUUAAUGUUUGCAAUAAAACAUGAUCUUGUAGUGGAAGUUGACAAUAAAUAUCCUCUGUAGCCAACUAGAUUUUGACACACAAUUAAGGAGAGUCUCACAGUGUAAUUUUCACAUAGAUCAAUAACAUUAGAUUCUCAGCACAGUUCUUUCUCUGCUGAUAUAAAUGAAGGCCUCAUUUUAAAUUAGUUCAGCUAAAAUGGGAUUAUUCAAGUAAUGUUAGAUAAAAUAUCUUUCCUUAGCCAAUGCUGAGGACUUCACAUGAGAAAAGAUAAAUAUUUCAGUAGUAAUUUCAUCAUAGAUUUUUGGAAAAUUAUUAAAGUUAUGUAUGUCACAGAUGGUUUGUUGUACACAAAAAGGAUAAUUUUAUAACACAUAAACAGGUUUAUUAUUGGAGGUUGUUCAUUGAUAAGAAUCUGGCUAAUGCAUAGAAAUUCAGCUUUUUUUUUUUCAUCAUAAAAUUCAUCUGUAUUUCAAAAAUAUAUCUGGAGACAAGGCCAGAGGAAAGGAUAGAACAGUGUCUAUACUAAUAAGAGCUUCUACUUUUAAAUUUUUAUGUCUCCACAUUGGCACCAAAUUCUAAUCUUCUGUAUCAUAUUCUAUCUAUCUAAAUUACACUUUUUUAUUCAGAAUCUACUGCAUCUCCCUCUAUUCAUCUAAGAGGUUCAGAGGGAAAAAAGUGACAGUUUGGUCACAGAAUGGAGUCCUUUCAGUUAGAUCAUGUAUCAGGAACAUGGUGUUAUUAGAGAAAAAUAUGUAUCAUACUAAAAAUAAACCCAUCAUUGAGCAGUCCCAGGAGAUUAAGACCUAACCAGCUGGGAUUUAAAUCAAAUAGUUGACUCUAGAAUUCACAUCCUUCACCACCAUGCUGUACAACCUCUCUGGAUGACUUCUUAUGUCUGCUGAGGCCUUUUAUGAUGGUAUACUUUGCACUUUAUUGAUUAAUACUAUAAAACUGAACCUACAUUCACAUUUUUAGUUGCAUGCAAGAGAACCUUUAUUUUAAUAGGCUGUGCAAAAAUUCUAAGUGAAUAUUUCAAAUUCUGGCUGUCAAGGCAUAGGAAAUGCUUAUUUGUUUGAGUGAAAGGUCUUUCUUGUUAAGACUAUGUAAUUUGUAAAAUCAGUUUAUUUUUUUUCUUUCUUCUGAAUCUUUUCAUGUGUCAGCUGUAAUGCCAUUUGAAUCAAAGACAUUUGAUUACCAUCUAUGUUCCUAUGUUCUUCUCUUAAACUGAAUGGCAAGCUUUGUGUAAGAUUGGCAGCCUUGCAGAAUGGACUGUUUCGACAUUGGCAAAAUAUUGCAACAAGAGACAACUUGUAACUCCUCCGUUUUAUGGGUUGUCAGACUAGAAUUCAGUGCCAGGAUUGGCAGAGGUUUCAGAGCUUUUUUGCUUCAUCAACUAUCAAUUCCCUAAGAAGCUCAAACCAUCUCUGUCUAUUCCAAGAAGGUAACCCAUUGGUCAGAUCAUUUUUGUUUAUUUAUUUGUUUGUUUUUUGUUAUUGUUAAGAGCUAGUAAGAUGUAUCUAUAUCUAUCUAUCUAUCUAUAUAAUUUUUAAGAGUAAAUGUUUCUCAUUUUUUCCUUGAUAGAGAGCUUUGUUGUGAUAUCUUAAUUAGUUUACCAAUAUGAUAUUAUUUUUCUCUGUAAUAUAAAAUAACCUAUGAGAAGAUUAGAAUUCCAUUCAGUCCUACUUAAAAUUAACAUUAGAAAACAUUACCUGAAUAUCUGUCACAAUUCUCCUUUCAGUGUGCAUCUUCUGGAAUCAGAUAGACACAUCUUAUUCUUGCACUGUUUACUUGGUAACUUUGACACUUUGUGUAAGUGCCCAGUAUGCAUCCUCAUCUGUUAAAUAGAUGGAAUAACAAGAUGAACUUCAUAAGAUUUAUAUGAGGAAUAUUGAGAUACCUAUUAAAUCAUUAUCUCUGCCUGGGAUAUAGUCAAUAUUCAAUAAAUAUUAGCUGCCAUCCCCCUGAUCAUGAUCAUGGCCAAAAGAGAGAAGAUUGAAUAAAUAAGAACAGAUUACGACAGGAGCUUUAUAUUCCUUUAUGAAUAUGAUAAAAUAUAGAGAAGGAGGACAAGGGAAGAUUGCAGUAGGGGAGAAUGGAUUGUUUCAAAGUAAAUUACAUAAUCUGAACUACUAAAGACAGGAAGAUUCGUGGUAAGACUCUUUGGCACAUUCAGUAAUUCAUCAUCUAUCCUAGAGAGCUGGAUCCUGAAUGUCUCUAUUAAGUCUUCUCACUGUCUAGAUUUGCCCAGACCCAAGUCAAAAGGAAUUAAUCUUUUGGCACAUGGUGUUAUACUAUAUACCCCAAGGAAAGAGAAAUUCAAUAGAGAUAAUUAUAAGUUAGUUGAAUAGUUAAGCUUGGCUGCUCCAAACUGAGUAAAACAAAUGGGAGUCCAGGCUUGGAGAGCCUUAUACUGCUCAUACUGCUUUUAGGGACAGGUCCUAGUGAACUGUCUCAGAUGAGGUUUGGCUGGGACCUUCUUAUUCUUCAGGACUUAGCUGAAAUGUGCCCUCUUUGAGAGGCCAUCUUAGACUGAUAUUAGCAUCUUUUCCCCUUUCCCUAUUGUUGGCCUCAUUUUCCUUCUUUGUUAUACUUACUGUAAAUUGCAGUUGAGUAGUUUUAAUUGAGUAUCCUCUAAUGUUUGUAAGUCCAAGAGCCCUGUAUGUUUAGUUUGCCAUUAUAUAGAGAACACUUAAUAUAGUGGUUUUCUAUUAUAGUGAUUUCCUUCAAUAAAAUUUUGUUAAUUAGAAGGAAGAACAAUUAACAAUAAGGAGGACAGUAAAACUGGGGACAUAUCU